AGGCAUGCGGUUUAUUGUUCGAAUUAAUUAAUGGAUUAUUAAUAAGAAAUGUAGAUAAUGUAUGCUGCAAAACUUUGAAAAUCCUGAAACACACCCUAAGGGUUAUGGAAUUUACAUCUUUCACAGCUUCUAUUAUUUCUUCACUAGUUUGCAGCUAUGCCCACACCUGGAAGGUGACAAAAGGUGGAGUUUACUUUCUCGCCCGUGUCAGCAGUCAUACUGUGGAAUCCAUGAAAAUUGGAUUUCCUUUUUCUGGUGCGUUUUACUCUUGAACUGUGUAACUGUGGAUAACUUUAAUACUGCCCAUUCUUUGUUUACAGUUAUAUAAUUUCUAUGAGCCUUAAAAGUAACCGACAUAUUUCUUUCUUAAGGUUUCAGUAUAAAACAUAAUCUGCAUCUUCAUUAUGAAACUCAUAUGCAAUUUUCUUCUAUCUCUAGAAGUUUAGAUUGAGGUUUAAAAGAACCAUUUUCAUUAUCAAGCUUCCCCAUAGUUUCCCACUUUCCUAUUCCAAAUAUUUUAAAAAAUCACACCAAAUAUCAGAGCUUUUAGCAAUAUAAAGAAAGAUUUACUUUCAAAAGUAGCAAAACUUGUUUGAAAAAAAUAUAUAUCUUUAAGUGAAUUACUUUAUAAAUGUGACUGUCAAAGUCAGCUAUCCUAUGAUCUACAUUUUACAACAUAUUGUACAAAAGAUACAUUGAUAGGCUCUUAUCUAUUUAUAUAUUUAUAAUUACAUAUUGCACUUGGACCAGCAAGGCUUGCAGAGUCAUUCACGGUAGAAGUUAAUAAAGUUAAAUAGAUGGGAAUCUUUGUAAGUACAAUUGAUCUCCUCUGGUUUGGAAACAAAUCUCCUCGUCGUUGUAAAGUGUUCUCGCGGGGUGGGACAGAGAGAGGAGCAUUGCGAGGGGGAAGCAGAGACAGAGAGCACGGAGGGCAGGGGUCGCCUUCCCGGGGCCCGCUCCCCCCGGGAGCGCGCCUUUCCCAGACUCGCACCUCCAAGGUCAGGACGCGGUGGUUCCACAUAAGCGGCUCGCGGUCACCACUUCUUUCAGGUCACUCUCGGGUUUCCCGGCCACCAUAAAGGGCCACGUCUGCGGGAAAGAAGAGGGUGGAGGAGAAAACACGAAUUAAAAUACAGGGAGUAUCAACCGCAUCCUGCCAACACCUCAUAAGACUCCAAGGCUUUACCGAGAUCUCCUUCCACCUUCCCCGGGAUAAAUGAAGACAAGUGCUUCCUAGAAUCUUUAUGGUGAUGGAAAAGUGGAGAUUUAAAUGACCACAUCCACCCUAAGAUUUAUUGUGAGAAUGAUUGAUGUUAUAAACCAGGAAAAAGACUCUUCCCACAGCAGGGAUGACAGAAAUAUCAAGUUGAAGUUGCCUUUGUCUUCACAUACAAAUGACCCAGUACUAUAACACAGAAAGUAUAAUAAUUUAAUCUGAGGUUCAAGACAGCAGUAAGAGAACACCCAGCAGGCCUGUUAAAAAUUUCUUCACUAAUUCCCCAACUAGUUUCCUUUGAUUUGCUCUCCCUUUUCUCAGUCUUGGUAAAACAUGAAAGUUAAAGUUAUUUUUAGACUAAAGAGCUAUGUGAAAAUAGGCAUUGGCCAAUACUUUGUGAAAUGUGUGUGUGUGUGUGUGUGUGUGUGUGUGUAGCUACUAAGAUAUCUGCAAAAUAACUACAAAUAAUUAAUUUGGGCUCUGGAAUGUGAUAAUUAUUAUAAAUCCAAACUAUGGCCUUAAUACCAGGCUAUUAAGCUGUGAUUUUUCUUGUUGGAGCCAUUUUUUUUUCUUUUUGGCUCUGGCUUUCUGUUACACCUUAGUUAAUGGACUGCUCAGGCUGUCUGGGGAGAUAGUAACAAUCAUAGUAAUAUGUACCACUGAAAAGAUUUCUGUUAUCUGUAUAUUUUUCAAUGUUGGAAACUUAAAAGUACCAAUUUCUGGAAGCAUGUAAAACUAGCCUCAUGUCAUAGGCUGGUUUUUAUGCUUAGCAAUUACUUUUCUUCAUAGCCAUAUAAGAAAUAAUUAAGUCCCAUGUCCAUUUAUCUUGCAGUGAGGCAUUUAGGCUGAGAAAGGCUAGUGGGCUGAUAAUAAAUUUUGGAGUGUUUCUAAAAUUCUGUAAAAGAUGGCUUCCAGUUUGGGAGUAAGAGUUGAAGAAUGCUGUUGCUUAUGUAUCUUGAUAUGAAGUCUUGAAGAAAGAAUAUUCAUAUGAAAAAUACUUUUUUCUUUUAAAAUUUUGUGUCUAUCCCUGCUAAUAAACACUUAGGGACAAAUGGGUGGGGGAAAUGACUUCUUGUUGGAUUCUACUGAGCAAAUCAGUUAAGCUGUAACUUAAGCUGUGCCAAAUUCUCCCAAAAUAUAAACUAUAUUCUGUGAGAAGAGAAGCACUUUUGAGAAGCUGUAUUAACCCUUUUGGUACGUUGACCCUUCUGUUCCAAAGCACGAAAUAGAAAACUAGUGAUUUGAAAGUAUGAGAUCAUUUCUAAAAGUUCUUACCUGACUUUUAAGAAACAGUUAUGCCCCAGAGGCAUCUGGCCAAUUUGCUGCUCACUUCUAACAAUUUGUUUUGCAAGAGAGACUAUCUUUGAAAGAUUUUAGUGCUAAGGAAAUUUUAUCUCCGAAAGCUGUAAAAUGAAGAUUAGGCAUGGAAUGUACCCUUGAACUUAAAUCCUGGUUUAUCAGCUGAUACAUUUACAGGAAGUUCAAAUUUGAUUCAGUUGCACUUGGAUGGAAUAAUUUGCUUCCUUUUUUAUGAGAAGGAAAACAUCAUAGGCUUCCUUUGAACUGACUUCAUAUGCCAUUACAUAAUCUUUCUCAGGGGAAAAAUAUGCCUUUAAAUGUAAAUGUUAAUUCUUUUCUCUUACUCCUCAUAAUUUGGUCAGGAGACACAGGCUGGCAAAUCGGCAAAACUGCCCAUUCUCUUUUUUCUUCAUUUCUAAUUAGCACCUCCAGAUGUUUUAUUCAUUUUAUUUGAUGGUAACUACCACCACUUCAAAUAUUUGCCAACUUUCUAUGCAACUUGAUGCCUUUUUUUUUUCUUUUUUGUUGGAGUCUUGCUCUGUCACCCAAGCUGGAGUGCAUCAGCAUGAUCUAGGCUCACUGCAACCUCCGCCUCCCAAGUUUAAGAGAUUCUCAUGCCUCAGCCUCUCGAGUAGCUAGAAUUACAGGUGCCUGCCACCAUGCCUAUCUAAUUUUUGUAUUUUUAGUAGAGGUGGGAUUUCGCCAUUUUGGCCAGGCUGGUUUCAAACUCCUGAUCUACCCACCUCGGCCUCCCAAAGUGCUGGGAUUACAGGCAUGAGCCACCGUGCCCAGCCAGGUGCCUCUUUUUUGAUUUUACAUAAUUAUCUCCAUACCCUUUGUUUGCUGCUGAUUGAUUGUUGUCUAUCUCCCACUUAUAUGCCUAUCAAAAUCUGACUUUGUUUCAUUAAAUUUUAACUUUAUUUCAUAAAGUGAGCAUUACCUCUCUUUGCUCCUUCUAAAUUAUAGUGGUGCUGGCCUGUUAUAUUUUGGCAGCCAAAGUGAAUAUGGCACUAGUGAGCUUGGUGGCUAGCUAAGAAGGUCAAUAACAGUGAUGCUGGGUGUUGCUGCUACCUUUACUUGGCACCAGCUGGGAGACGGUAUAAAUCCUGGAUGGUAUAAAUCCAUUCAGUAAUCAGAAGUCUUCCGCGUGUUCACUAUACCCUAACCCCCUCUUUUCACAUUUAAUUCAGUGAAUUGUAGAUAAGAUGCCACAUUGCUAAGAUUUAAAGCUGGCAAAUAACAACAAUAAAGUUUAGGGAAAGAUUCUGCAUGGUUCUUUGAAUCCAGGAGUUAAUCUUGCAUUUCACGUGUUCCACAAUACAGCUUUGAAAGCAGCCAAGCCUAUGCACUUGAAAGUCAGGGUUUACCCUAAGGUGUAAGUGGGCCAGAGAAAACUCGGGCAGACAAAGAGAGUUAAACAUUUUGCAAAGCCAGUUUAGUGUCUUCCUAAGUUUUCUAAUACUAGAAUAAUUGUAUUAGACCCUGUCAGUGUUAGGAAAGAGAGAGAAAAGGACUGAGCGACUCCUGAGUCAGGUACCAUGCAGGGACCUUUGCCUCCAUUCUCUCAUUUCAUGUAUUUUCUCUCCUUUCUGUUGGCACUACUAAAGAAAGAGCUGCCACAUGAAAUGAAUAGUGUAUUAGAAAUGUAUGCCAGAGGCUUUCCCCUGUAAUAAAGUUUUAGAAAAACUG
rnacentral:antisense_RNA from 1 species